rnacentral:misc_RNA from 1 species
GGAAAAUCUUUCAUGAGAUUGUAUGUUUGUCCAUGUGGUUCUUCCCAAGAAUGAACUUUCCUACCAAAGAGCUUGCCCUUAAGUAUGAAACUAUAACUAAAGCUGGAAACCUUUCGCCUAAGGUUGAAUUUCUCUUUUUGCCGUUUCUUGACAUUCAUUGUGACCUUCUCAAUAGCUUCAUGCUGUCUUCUAAUAUGGGCCCCUGUCAGCAUAUGUCGGUCCUCUAGGAGGAGCUUUCCAAAUGAUGUUGCGGACACAGGAGCGGACAAAGAUCUAAUUAGGCUCCUAGGAGAUAGUUCCUGCUCAAGCAUGUCAUUGCCAUGAUCCCGUCUGAAAGAUCUGUUGUGCAUGUUUAAUUCACCUUUCAUAUUGUCCAGAUUUGUUGCUUUAUCUCCCGUAUUAGAAGUAUACCUCAUUUCUUCAGAGCUGCACGUUUCAUUAUUCAGUUCCAUCGAUCUAGAGCUUCCACGAGCAAGCCUGUGUACACCAUGAGAUGUUUCUUGCUUGAGGACAUUCCGGAACCUUUCUGUCAAAAACUUCCGUGUAUCUCUAUUGACAAACUCAGGAGAACUCUCCCCAUUGGAAUGAAUAUCACUUUUAUAAGACCUGGUGGAUUCUGAUCGAGAUAAUGUUGUU